GAUGAACGCUGGCGGCGUGCCUAAUACAUGCAAGUCGAGCGAACAGACGAGGAGCUUGCUCCUCUGACGUUAGCGGCGGACGGGUGAGUAACACGUGGAUAACCUACCUAUAAGACUGGGAUAACUUCGGGAAACCGUAGCUAGUACCGGAUAAUAUAUUGAACCGCAUGGUUCAAUAGUGAAAGACGGUUUUGCUGUCACUUAUAGAUGGAUCCGCGCUGCAUUAGCUAGUUGGUAAGGUAACGGCUUACCAAGGCAACGAUGCAUAGCCGACCUGAGAGGGUGAUCGGCCACACUGGAACUGAGACACGGUCCAGACUCCUACGGGAGGCAGCAGUAGGGAAUCUUCCGCAAUGGGCGAAAGCCUGACGGAGCAACGCCGCGUGAGUGAUGAAGGUCUUCGGAUCGUAAAACUCUGUUAUUAGGGAAGAACAUAUGUGUAAGUAACUGUGCACAUCUUGACGGUACCUAAUCAGAAAGCCACGGCUAACUACGUG
rnacentral:rRNA from 1 species